UUUCAAAAGUAAAUGAGGCCACUUAAAUUCAUAUUUUGCUCGGGAAAUGAAGAGUUUCACAUGUGCCAGAAACCAAGCCAAAAGCCAAAUUCACAGCCCGCCUCCAAGGGUAAAAGCAAACACAAGGUUCACCCUCGUUUCAGAACGAGCUUUCUGGGUGUUGUUUCGCCUCACUGCGAUUAUAUUUUCCUCUCAGUCCAGGUCCGUCUCAUCGUCCAAUCGCUGACUUGUAUCCUCUCCUAAACUGGAGGAAACACACCAGCUCCCCGCCCAGAAACAUACCGAGUCAACCAAAUCAACACCUGAAAGUCGAGUCAGAGGAAAGGGUCUCUGCAGACACAGUCACCACCACGGAGGACUACAAGUCAUGACUGAGCAGAAUUACUUUUGCGUGACUUUAUAGUUGUUGUUUGUUUUUUGUUUUUUUAUGUAAAAGCUACUGACGCUAUCUUUAAAAUGUGCACAUCUCACUUUGACAACCUCAGAGCAGACAGCCUCUCAGGGCCCGGACCCCCAGGUUGGGACCACAUUGGCUCCAUGUUUUAUAUUUCUGUCCUCUUUAUGUCUCAGUAACGUUUCUUUAGUAUUUCUAGUUUUACACAAUACAAAAAUGAUUUUCUUUCCUUUUUUGUGAACUGUGGCGUUCAUUGUCUAUAACUGUUGUUGAAAUUUGUUCUGCUGGAGUGAGCCGAGGGGAGCGGAGCUGAGGGGAAGUUGUAGCUCGGUCAUCCUUGUUUUUACUUUGAAAAAAAAGAGAAAAUGUAAUUAACCCAGAGUUCAUAGUAAUUUAGUUCAACUUAAAAUAGGGGGAACGACAAGGUAGGAAUGAGAACUUUUCUGGUUUUGGAAGAAGAGUUUCAGAGUCCACUUCUGGUGUUUGAGAUAAGAGCGAGCUCCCACAUUGUCGUUCAGAGAUAUCCCAAAAGGUAACGGAUGGGGUUGAGGUGAGGUGAGGGCUCCGUGCAGGCCGACAACAUUUGGAAAAAAAGAACAAGGACCAGAGACUAUAAAUAUAAAGUGGAAGAGUUACUACUGUAGCCUCUGCGACAUCACUCAUUGGGUUUGUAGACAACCACUUUAAAGCCUUGACUUUGGCCAGUAUAGCUGCUGGUGUCAAGGCUGUUUGGAGCCAGAAAUAUAAAACCAUAUGUUGAAACAUGACAGCUCUUUAAUGGUUGACAGGUUGCCAUGGUAGCUAAUUGUCAGAGGAAAGAACAUGGCCUCAUUUGCACCCUGCUUUCUCAUUUAUUUCACUCUAAAUGGGACCAAUGAAACUAUCUGUGCUGCAGACCAUGAGUGUUCAGGGUGUUUCUGUCCGCUGGUUUCAUUUACUGUCUCGCUCGUCACGGUUGUCGAUCACUAUGUUACGUAGCUCCGAAGAUUGAGCUGAUGUUUUUUCAGCAUCUGCUUCCAGGAUUUCAAACACAGGGAUGGAAAAAGUGAAAGAGUAUCCUCGCUGACACUUGAUAUGUAUUGACGAGACGGCACACAAAGCAGACACGUAACAGUGCUGUCUAAAGCCGCCGGAGUCCGAGUCGAGGCUCAGCUAAACUGCGGUUCAGAUCGAUGUCUGGGUGCAUGGCGGAGCAGGAGUUGAAGUCAAUACAGGCCGACGUUUUGUUUUGUUACAUUCACUGUCAGAUCAUUUGUGUUCAUGUUAGAGUGCAGCUAUGAUGCAUGUGCCAAUCUUUAAAAAAAUCUGCCGUUCUCGAGAAGCGGCAAAAACUGAAAAUGCCACUAAGCCAGCGCCGUGUAAAUACAGUGAAACUAUGAAUGAAUGUGAAGUUAAGGGUCGACUCGAAGUCACUGCUGAGGGGGCAAAACAUACCGUACACAGAAUGAGGCUUUUCAUUAAAGGAAGAAUGUACGACUUUUUGAUCCAGUAGAUGCCGCCUUGAGCUCCAGCAUGAAACCAAAACAAACUGCUGUUUGGCCACGCCUCCUCCAUACUGAAGCCUCCGCUCUCCUCCAGAGACACACCUCCAACCCCCCCUCCACUUCAAAGUUCACACAAAGGAGUUAUGAAUUAGAAUGCACCAUAGUUAAGCAACAUUAAGCGCAAUUGACGUACAAAGAUGUCCUUUGCUCGAGCUGCAAUCACCUGUGUCCUGCAUCGUUGUGCUAGCAUGCUAAUGUUAGCAUGUAGCUUCAUAUUGCACAUAAAUUGAAACAGAGUGACUGUGAUCUAAACACACUUCUGUGAGAUUCAAAUAAUCAGUGAGUAUGUUCUUCUUCUUCUCUCUAGUCCUUGACUUAAACCGGCCGUCCCGUCCAUGUAAACACGGCUCUGACAACAACACAGCCAGCGGGACUCGAGCUUCUCCCUCAUUGUAGACAGUCAUGACUCAGAGACACAUUUACACAGAACAGACUUUAUGAUUUAUUGAAGUGUGAAAUGUCGCACAUUCUUCCUUUAAAUAAAACUCCAGGUACAUUUGGAUUGGCCAGCAUGUCGGCCGCUCUUCUCAACGAACUGAUGCACCUUAAAUUCUGUGACUGAGAGAAAUAUCGUGAGAUGAAUGCGAGUGCCUUUGGUCCUUUUUCCCCUCCAAUGUUUCUGUUAUGUCUUCUACCUAAAUGAAUCCAUGACCUGUACAGCUGCUUUUCUGCUGCAGAGCAUUUUUCAUUUGAGACGUCAUACAAAGUGUUAAAUGUUUAUUCAGCAGUAAAAACUGUUCUCAUUGCACGUUACUGGUCAAAGGGGGAUAUGUGAGACCCCCCGCGACCCGUCGGCCUCUUUUCCAAUGGCAGUGUUAGAUAUUAGACAACGUCUAUGUUCAAUGGCAGUAUGAUUAAUAAAAGUCAUUUCUUUCCCAACAA